GGGUGACACGGGGUCUGGCGGAAACGAAAGAGAAAGGGAGCGAGCAGAGCGGGGCGAGGGCCUGGCUGGGGUCUCUCGCUGUCUGCGCUGCAGAGUUGCCUGUCGCCCUUCUCUACGGGCCACAUCUAUACACAUAGAUCUGUUAGAGCUACAGGUUUUAUUAGAAACAUUUAGUAAUGGCAGAUCACCUUUGUCCACAAUUGUUUCUAACACCAUGACCCAGGAGGCUGUGGCCCAGGUGGCACUGAAGGCUGCACUGCUGCAGGUGCUGGGACAGCACCCUGUUGACUUGCCCCUGGGUGAUGUGGCUGGGGCCUUCCACCACCUGUAUGGCACCCAGCUGCAGUUCAGCUCCACUGAGGCUGGAGAACCCCUGCUGGGGACCAGAGCCACCUCCCCCAUGGAGAGUGAUGGGACCCCCAGCAACUCGGACAACAAGGAGGAGAAGAACAAGGGCACAGCCUUCCACCAGGCCGGCAUGCUCCUUGGCCAGGUCCUGCAGGGCUUCCCCUGUGGCAUGACCUUGCGCAGGUUGCACCACAUCCUACAGGCAGAGGGGAUCCUGCAGGACCUGCCCAGACACUGGGACUCCUUGGAGUUUGUCUACCUUCUAUUCCAUGUGCCGGGAAUCAAGCUGUGGGUACCCAAAAAUGGCACGGAGGUUGUGGCCUACCGGGCAGUGCCAGACCCUUCAGCAGUCCAGAGGCUGGUGCAUCUGAUCCUGGGAUAUUACGGGACGCCUGGGGGCUGCUGGACAGUGCCGGAGCUGGAGGGCUUCAUGGCGCAGACAUACGGGCUGGAUUUGGAGGGCUACAGCCAAGAGCAUGGCUACAGGGGGACUGUGGACUUCCUGCGCUCCAUGCCUGACCUCGCCCUGCAUACCCCACUCUGGGGGGGACCCUACAUCCUCCACCUCUAUGCAGGACCUACCUUGCCCCCCACACACAUGAUUCCACCACCCCUCAACACUGAGCCCCUGUGUGAGAUCCUGGCACCUUCAGACCCUCAGCCCUUUGAACCCCCUGUAUCAGCACAGCGCCUGGAGACCCUCUUCCUGAAGCACCUAGACCAAGGAGCAUUGGACAGGGUGCUGAGCCUGCUGCGGGAUGGGCUCAUGGAGCACCCAGGUGGCCUGGAACUGGGGGUGCUGAAGGAGGCCGUGAGGAGAGGCCUUGGUGUCGACCUUGAGGACCUGAGCUGGGACCUGGGCUACCGGGGCACCCUGGAGCUGCUAAGCAAUCUGCCAGGUGUUUGGGUCUGGGGGCCUGAGAAGGGGGACCACUGCAUCCUCCACAUGGAGCGAGAUUUCAUCUAUGACCCUGCAGUGGUGCAGAAAUAUUCCAGCCUGGACCCUAGCCAUGCAGGGCACAAGAGAAAGAAGCCAUGGCCUGGGCACCAGGAGCCCUGCUGUUGCUGCAGCCAGGGGACAGACAGUCACAGCAAUUGGGGUGACAUGGACUCUGGAGUCACCAUGGAUGUGCCCGUACCUCCUUGGGCCAAGCAUGCCCCCUGUGUUACCCAGCCUGCCUGCCUGGAUCCUGUGGAGACCACCCAGCUGGCAAAACCAAAGCCAGGCUUGGACCAGUUCUCAGCGGCCAUCCUGGAAUGUCUCCAUGGCUACAGCAGUGGCCUGCGAAUGGAGACACUGAAGAAGAUGCUAUGCCAAAGACAGGCCAUGGACCUGGAGGAUUUUGUGAAAUAUGGCGGGUAUGGGAACACUGUGGAGCUGCUGCAGCAAGUGCCUGAGGUCCAGCUCAUCUUCCCUGAGAGAGGGGAAAAGUGCCUGGUCAGACUGAAAACAGACCUGGAUAUGUUGGAGGGGCUGAUCCAAGAUAUUCUGACACCCUUUCCCAGUGGUCUGCGGCUCAAGAAGCUGAAGGAGAUGCUGGUGAAGAAGCAUGGGACUGACCUGGAGUCCUGGAGUCAAGGCGCAGGCUACAGGGACGUGAUCUCCUGUCUGAAGAACAUGCCAGGGCUCAGACUCCAUGGCUCCGGGAGAAGCAACAACUGCCUGGUCCAAAUCCAGAACCAGGCAGGAAGCCCCAUCCUCCAGCUCAUGGUAAAGUCUAAGAGGAAGAAGCCACAAGGGAAUCAAGAAGAUUCUGGACUGUUACCUGGUGGCAGUGCCAAACCCUUGUCCAGCCCCAAGGGGCACCUAUCCAAUGCUGCUUCUCCAGCACCCCCUGACAACUGCUGGUUCAAGUCUCAGCUACCCAGUACCACCACCACCAAAUCCCUGGCCCAAAUCCCUGGUGCCCCUGCUGUGCAGAGCAUGCUGAGUCAGCACCUCCAACCUAAUGCCCAUUUGCCAGGCUGGCUCAUGAACUCACCCCAGCCAGCUGGCAGCCGCUUAGGCCUGCACAUGGGCAAGGAUACCCAAGGGCCUGGCCCUCAGCUGGACAGUGCUUCCUCAGGCUUUGAAGUGAACAAGGAAACCCCAGUAGGUAGGACCCAGCUGGACAGCCCUCCCCAGAAUCCAUGGGCACACAAGGAGUCCCCAGGGCCUGGUGCACUGUUAGUCAGUGCACCCUCAGUCCUGAGAAUGAAUAAAGGGACACAGUGGUCCAGCACCCAGCUUGAUACCAUUCCUUCAGGCCCAAAGACUGGAAAGGAAACUCAGGGGCCAACCACUCAGCUGUAUCGUGCCCCUUGGGGCCCUUGGGUAAAGGACGAAACCCAGGAACAAAGGGCCCAACUGGAUACCACCCCAUUGGGCCUAUGGCCAGUGGAAGAGACCAAGGUGCUUAGGACCCAGCCAGCCAGAGCAGACGUGCCUAGAGCCAGCCCAGGCUGUACCCCAUCCACCCAGCCCCCCGAAGACCUGGCAGACCUGAAGCAGAAUGUGGCCACCAUCCUGGCCCAGCAUCCCCAGGGCAUAUCUGUCUUCCAGUUCCGGGCAGCCUACAGUGCCACUUACCAUCACCCGCUGCCCUUGGGUCCCGCGGCCUCAGCCAAGCAGCGGCUGGCAGAAAUGCCUGAUGUGGUGAGGAUCCAAGGAUAUGGAGUCCAGACACUGCUGCUGCCUGUCUCUAACAGCAACCCCACAGGCGAUGAUCCUGGUUGCACCCUCUUGAUCGCAGAAGAACCUGCUGAUCCUGUUGGAGACCCUGACAGACUGGCUGAGCCCCCACCUGUCCUGGCCCCACAACCCUCAGCAGGCCCACGGGGGCCUGAGUCUCCACCUGCCCCCAGGGCCCUGCCACCCACUCAGGCUGUGAAGCCCAAAGCUGCCCUCAAGGAGCCUGAUCUGAUGCCCAGUGCUCCUGUGAUUACCACGGAGAUGGAGCCCAGCAGCAGCUCAUGGACCCCAGUCCAGCCUGAACUUCUCCCUGUCGUGGAUGAUGCCAGCUCAGCUUCUCAUCCAGUUGUGUACCCUCCACUCCAGCAGAUCCCAUUACCUGAUCCCAGCCCACUGCCUUCAUCCCUGCAGCCAGCCAAAGAUGUGGGAGCACAGAUCCCUCAAGCCCAGGCCAAGCCAGUCCAGCCUGUGUCUCCCACCCAAGGCCUCCCCCAUCCGUCUCCCAGGGCAGGUCCAGUCUCUAGAGUCUCAGAGUGGUACCAGGACCCUGUGGGCUUCCUUUUGGAUCCCAGCCCUGAUGUUUGGCCUUCCACUGAGGACAUUACCACCCCACUGACUAUUGCAGCCCCAAGAGCGGAGGUCAGCCCCCUCCCUACACCAUACGCCGACACCUUGAGAGCCCUGACGUCAUACGUACGCCCCAGGGAAAUCUGGCUGGAGAACAGGCUGCCUGGCCUGGCAGCGGUAAACAAUUCUUCAGAAGACUUUCUGGACCCCGCUGCACCCACUGCUUCUCCUCAGCCCUCCCCCACACUCAGCAAUGCUGAGAAUGACACACACAAGACACGCUGUUCCAUCAUAGGAUGGGAUAUGCCUGAGGUUUUCCCAUGUCCCUCUUGGACAGACACAGAGGCCCCGCAACAGCCAUCUCAGCCACACAGCUCUGACCGCUGCAUCAUUCUCUAGUGCUGCUAUCACCCAGCAGCAAACCAGAGCCAUCAAUAUACAUGGAGCUCUGAAGUAGAGCACACCUGGUCAUGUAACAACACUCAGGGAUACGGUUUUGCUGUCUGGACAGUAAAGGACUUGAUGAAAGACGUUUCUGUUAUAUGCAACGCUUCCAGAGAUGGGGACGUCUUCUGCUCCAGCAUCUCAAAGAUUGGAUAUAUGCCUGACCCCCUAAGGGACGUAUGUGUAUCCUCACCCUGGAGAAGUUCCUUUGUGUGAUACUAUGAAGAUCCUUCAAGAGAGCUGGAAACUUUGGGCCUGGAACUUUUAAGAAACGGCUACUAAUUUUUAUUUUAUGUGGGAUGGGAGCUAGUGGGAAAGAGCAGGGUGUUCUCCAAUUCAGAACCCACCUGAAAAUGGGAAUUAUGUGGCCUUUAUCCAGUCACUAAAAGUUGGUACCCAAGGGCUGAAAACAGCCAUCUGCAGAAGUGGUUUUUCAUCUUCAUUUCUUUAAAUGAAAUCCUACUACAGUAGGAUAUUUUUUACUAUAUAGGUUUGAUUUGGAUCAAUAAUUCUAUGUGCAUCUUCACUACCUGGCUCUUCACAGAAGUGAUUUGGGAAUGCUUUAGGAGGCAGAUCAUGGACUGAGACCCCCAAAUUGCAAGGUGUUAUACAGGCAGAGCAGAAACACAGUCUCUUCCUCAAAGGGUUUAUAGUCUGAAUGAAAGACCAGGCCCAGCAGAAGGCUAUAAGUCACCCCUAGGAUACAAGGACACUGCAGGGAUUUCUGUGACAAAUAAGCCCGGUUAAAUGGAGCUGAUGGGAACACUUUGAUAAAAAGUCUUCUGUGGUAAAUGAAAGAUAUUUUUAAGCGCCUAGAAAGGUCUCUGUCAACUUUGAAAUUCAAUAAGGGAAAAGGUGAAACAAAUUGUUCAAACCUUUGCUCAUGCUGGCACUGAUGAAAGGGAUUUUGUAUUUGUUUGGCCUUAAACAAUAAAAUAUUAACAAUGGAUAUUUCA
rnacentral:lncRNA from 1 species